CUCUAUCACUCCUACGGGAGCAGCAGUGGGAAUCUUGCGCAAUGGGCGAAAGCCUGACGCAGCCAUGCCGCGUGAAUGAUGAAGGUCUUAGGAUUGUAAAAUUCUUUCACCGGGGACGAUAAUGACGGUACCCGGAGAAGAAGCCCCGGCUAACUUCGUGCCAGCAGCCGCGGUAAUACGAAGGGGGCUAGCGUUGCUCGGAAUUACUGGGCGUAAAGGGAGCGUAGGCGGACAUUUAAGUCAGGGGUGAAAUACCCGGGGCUCAACCUCGGAAUUGCCUUUGAUACUGGGUGUCUUGAGUGUGAGAGAGGUAUGUGGAACUCCGAGUGUAGAGGUGAAAUUCGUAGAUAUUCGGAAGAACACCAGUGGCGAAGGCGACAUACUGGCUCAUUACUGACGCUGAGGCUCGAAAGCGUGGGGAGCAAACAGGAUUAGAUACCCUGGUAG
rnacentral:rRNA from 1 species